rnacentral:tRNA from 1 species
GCGUCCGUAACUCAGCUGGAUAGAGUACCUGGCUACGAACCAGGCGGUCAGAGGUUCGAAUCCUCUCGGACGCGCCA